rnacentral:rRNA from 1 species
AGUGAACGCUUGCUUUCUUCCUAACACAUGCAAGUCGAACGGCAGCACAGUAAGAGCUUGCUCUUACGGGUGGCGAGUGGCGGACGGGUGAGGAAUACAUCGGAAUCUACUUUUUCGUGGGGGAUAACGUAGGGAAACUUACGCUAAUACCGCAUACGACCUACGGGUGAAAGCAGGGGAUCUUCGGACCUUGCGCGAUUGAAUGAGCCGAUGUCGGAUUAGCUAGUUGGCGGGGUAAAGGCCCACCAAGGCGACGAUCCGUAGCUGGUCUGAGAGGAUGAUAAGCCACACUGGAACUGAGACACGGUCCAGACUCCUACGGGAGGCAGCAGUGGGGAAUAUUGGACAAUGGGCGCAAGCCUGAUCCAGCCAUACCGCGUGGGUGAAGAAGGCCUUCGGGUUGUAAAGACCUUUUGUUGGGAAAGAAAAGCAGCAGGUUAAUACCCCGCUGUUCUGACGGUACCCAAAGAAUAAGCACAGGCUAACUUCGGG